rnacentral:lncRNA from 1 species
GAACACUUUAAAUAGAGUGUAUUAAAGAGACACCCAUUUUAAAAGCCUAAAUGGUCUUAUAACUGGAUACUGUCUAGUCUUCAAUACCUAGUAUAGCCUGUCUUAUUCAAACUCUUUCAGCCUGGAGAGCAAGAUGGAAAAUUUCCCUCAGUUCAUUUUAUGAAACCAGCAUGACCUGCAUAUUCAAACCUCAAAAGCACAUGUCUCUUCUCUCUCAAAAGCUUUGAGGGAAAAGAGGACCCUAACAAAGAAAGACGGGAAAGAAAGCACAAUUUGGUGUGCAGGACGACAGGCUCUUACCUUAAGCAGUAGGUGUGCAACUGGAGGCAUGUAAGAAUCACCUGAACAAAACUGCAACUGACAACACUUAUGUCUUGAACCUAGACAGAAACCAGAUUGGGACUGGAACCCACGGUUUUUUAAAAUUAGAAUUUAAAAAUUCUAAUCACCUGGUUGUCUGGACUUACAGAAGUUCAGGUUCUUUGUGCCUCGGUGCAGGAGGAAUUCAGCAAGAGACACAGGGAUAGGCAAGAAAUAGAUUUAUUGAGAUAAAAUGCUGGCAAGAGAUGCGAGCAGGCAAGCAAGGAAGCUCUGCCCCAAGGAUUAGGCGGGCUACAUUUUUAUAAUCCAAGGAAAGUGGGGAGCGGGAAAAGACUGCCUCUUCUUCCUUCUUUGGGUAGAUGUCAGGCUUACAUCAUUAGCUCCUCCUUUGUAUCCUGUAAGAGAGUAUUUGACCCUAUGAGGUCAAACUAGGACUGACAUGGUGCUUAGUCAAAUCAGCAGAAGGGUGGUAACAGAUGCUAAAAUAUGUUGAAUCCUCUCAGGUUUCCGUAUAAUGAGGGUCAUUCUUCAUUGGGAGGGUCAUUCUUCCCUUAAAUUCCUGUCCUUGGUCCUAUGGAUCAUCGUCUUGCUGAACUUGAAUCCAGGCCUCAUUGUAUCUUUCAUUUAAUAGCCUGAGGCAUAUCUUGUGCCUUUAUUUGUGGUUUUCUAAUUAAGCAAGCCUGCUUCAUUCUGAUGGCUUUCUUGAGCAAAUAAUAACUUCCAGUGAGAUCAAAGUUCCCUAGGUUUCCCUCCCUAUCUGUGGUCCCCUACUGGGACCUCUACAACUACCUGUGUGACUGUCCUACUCCAUCCCUAUCAAAACCAGACUCCACUCCCAGAGAGCUUGAUUUCAUUAUUCUGGGGAAGGGCCUGGCUAUAGAUAUGUUUUCAAGCUCCCCAGAACCAUCGCUUUAAGGUAACUGGAAAUCACAGAGGCCCACAAGCCUGGUUGUGAUUCCAAAGCCUUCCCACCUAGCAGCCAGCAUAUCGAGGAGAGACUUUGUCAGUCCUUUAAUGUGACUGGAGCUAGAAGAGGUAGCUGUUAGCCACAGCAUGCCAAACUUCCUGUCAGAGCCUAAGGGUUCCACAAAGCUGCAGUGUCCUGGCCUCAGAGGCCAAAGACCUAGCCAGGAACAGGAGUGUUCUUAUUUGUGAGUUCUGAGCCAGCAACCUUGCCUGCUGCCAAAGAAGGCCAGGAAAGCCCACAGAGCACUGUAAUCUCUGGAAUCCAAUGGGAUUUUAGUGACAGACCUGUUCGUGAUCAUGCUGCAAGGUCACAGAGCCCACGUGGUGAACAGUUCCAAGAAUAAAUGAUUAGCAGUGUGUGCAAUUCUUAGCUCCUCCAUUCCACAGUUCCUGGAGUCAGCACCACCGUGGACAGCCUGUAGCCACUCGUGGCUGAAGCCUCAUCAAAGCAUCAAACCGUCCUGUAAGCACCAUAGAGGAGGGGGAGCUGUCCGGGGUCCCAUCCUUCCAGCAACUGGGAUUCCCUAACCAGGCACUCUAGGCUCCUUUCCAACCAACCAUCCUCCUCAGAACCUAAGACAACUGUGUUGGUUUCAUCAAAUGUCCUCAGCCCCCAUCUCAGUCAUCAAUCUCAUGUCUAUCCCCUGUUUCAUUAAAUAAUAUUCAUGAAUAAUAAGGCAACUUGAAGCAUUCUUACCAUGAGAUAAUAUAAAAAUAGAACAAAUGAAUAGAUAGAUUGCUGGCCCAAGUUUGGUUAAUUGAUAUAGGAGGGUUCCUAUUGUGGCUCAGCAGACAGGAAUCCAACUAGUAUCCAUAAAGAAGUUUGAUCCCUGGUCUUGCUCAUGGGUUAAGGAUCCGGUGUUGCCAUGAGCUGUGGUGUGGGUCACAGACACAGCUCAGAUCUGGCGUUGCUGUGGCUCUGGCAUAGGCCAGUGGCUGCAGCUCCAAUUGGACCCCUAGCCUGGGAGCCUCCAUGUGCCGCGGGAGAGGCCCCAGAAAUGGCAAAAAGACAAAAAAAAAAAAAAAAAAAAAAAAAA